GGGUUUCGCCAUGUUGGUCAGGCUGGUCUCGGACUCUUCGGUGAUCCGCCCGCCUCGGGCUCCCAAAGUGCUGGGAUUACAGGCAUGAGCCACCACGCCGGGCUUCCAUUGCCUAAAUUCUUCAUAACUUAGGGACACAUCGCUUUGCAAGGAGCAAGGCCCAUGACCCCAGUGAUUAUCUGCAUAACAAAAUUUGAUUCCUCUUCUGCGGGACGUCGGCUGGGCUCACGUCUCUUCUGCGCUGGGAUCUAACUCCGGACACACACCCCACCCCUCCGCUGUGGCUGGCAUAGACUUCACGCGUCACAUAUCGGCAUGUGACUGGAUCUGGCCAAUCAGGGUAGUUAAUCCCUCUCCGCUCGCUGAUUCGCUCCGAAGAUAGGCCACUGAGCCAAUCGGAGCCCACGAAACACCGUCUGCUGCCCUGCGCCGGGACUGUAGCAGGAGGCUCGCUCUGUCUAGCUGACGCUGCAGUUGUUGGGAUGCCCGGAGGGGAACUGACUGAGGAAGGCUCUGAGAGAGGAGAGAGAGAUUGAGAUACAGACCGGGCCCAGAUGAGUUUACGCUGAAUCUGAAGUCAGUAGGUCCCUGGACUUUUCUAUUAUGGAAGCCAACAAGAACCUCCCCUGCACCCUCUGAAGCCAGUGUGGAUCGAGUUUCUAGCACUUGCAGGGUCUACACGGUCUCCUCUGCUUCCUUCUCCAUAGCUGUUUCUUACCAGCCUGGGGCCUCCACCCUGAACUACUGGGAAACAUGCUGUUCCUGCCUCCAGGCCUGUACUUCUUCCUUCACCCCCUUCCCCCACUAACUCCUCCUUGAACUUGGUAUCUCAGCUCCAUUGUCACUUUUGAGCCUUCCCCUAAACCACCCCCUUGCCAAAUAAAGCUGUUUCCUGUACUUUUCUUUCACUGGGCUUAUCACGAUUUCUAAUUAAAUGUUUGGGUGAUUAUUUGACAAAUAUCACCACUCCAGCCUCUGUAUACUGUAAGCCCUAUGAGGGCAGUCUCUUUGUCCUUCCUGCUGAUCACUGUUUCCCAGUGCUUGGCACAAGUAUGGUACUAAAUAAAUGUCUGGAAAAUUGA